ACUCUCGGCGCUCCCUUUUCAGAUGAGCUACACUUUGAAUAUUUACACAUGUGAGGAGUGUUUGGAAAGUUUAGGGCUCCAAAGGCAGAGAUGAAGAAACAAAAGAAAAACUCCAGAUAACACAGCCUGGAGGGGAUGUAGCCAUGAUUCAAAAUAGGAGUCACCUACCUGGACAUCUGAGAUAUCUCAACCGACAUUUCCAUGUGGUAAAACUCUUUUUAAGUUUUCCUCUCCCCUCAAUUUCUUUUUGUGAAAACAUGGGCACAAAGCCAAAGUUAAUAGUCAAAUGGGGAUAGAAUAAAAGUCAACAGAAUUUAUCCUAACAGAUUCCCAGGAUAUACUCCUAUACUCUUCAGUUAUGUGUAGCUAACAAAUCCCUCAGCACCAGAUAUGGAGAAAUGCUUUUGAACCCUGAGUGAAAUACUGUUAUUUUCCAUUACCAUGACGUUAAGCAGUGCUUCCAUGGUGUGCAGAGACAUUUCCAAAAGAGAUGCUUAGAACAUCCAUCUCCUUUUGUGAAUAUGAAUUCAUAAUGGCUAACGGGGGAUUCAUACAAUUUGGGAUGGAUUCCUGUUUUUGUUUAUGUUAUGAGGAACAAUGUCCUGCUCCCUAAGCAGUAUAAAAGUCUGAGCGCUGGACACAGGUUUAUGAAGCCUACGUACAAGUACCAUGUUCACGUGACACUAAGCAAUUUACUGCCUUUCCUUGGGCCAUAAAAGGAAGAGGUUGAAAUUUUCGAUUCCCUUUAGCACUAAUGUCUUAUGCAUCUGAAAUUCUAACAUGCCUGUUAGUCUUCUAUUGACCAACUCAGAAUUCAGUUUGAGUAUUGGUCUGACUCAUUUACAUUUCUCCAUUACAUACUUGAAUAAAGAAUCCAUUCAUGUUACUUAUCAUUUUGGAUAAGGUUUCACUAAAACACAAAUGUUUUUGAGCUGAAGUUGGCUCCAAGUCCACUAGAUGGCAAUCUCGCCCAUUUUUCUUCUAAGACCUCCAAAGGCUGCUCCUUCAACAUAUCCAGAACAAGCUCUACAUGUCACAGACUGCUCAGCUCUUCCCCUCAUGGAUUUACAAUGCAAUAAACCCUCUGAUAAUUCAGUACCA